UACGUAGGGGGCUAGCGUUGUCCGGAUUUAUUGGGCGUAAAGAGCGCGCAGGCGGUCGUUCAAGUCGAGUGUGAAAGCCCCCGGCUCAACUGGGGAGGGUCAUUCGAUACUGAUCGACUCGAAGGCAGGAGAGGGAAGUGGAAUUCCCGGUGUAGUGGUGAAAUUCGUAGAUAUUCGGAAGAACACCAGUGGCGAAGGCGACUUACUGGACACAUAUUGACGCUGAGGUGCGAAAGCGUGGGGAGCAAACAGG
rnacentral:rRNA from 1 species